rnacentral:rRNA from 1 species
UACAGAGGGGGCGAGCGUUGUUCGGAAUUACUGGGCGUAAAGGGCGCGUAGGCGGUUCGUUAAGUCCUGUGUGAAAUCCCCCGGCUACAACUGGGGAACUGCACAGGAAACUAGCGGGCUUGAGUUCGGGAGAGGGAGCGGAAUUCCGGGUGGUAGCGGUGAAAUGCGUAGAUAUCGAGGAAGAACACCGAUGGCGAAGGCAGCCUGCUCUGGGACGGUACUGGACGCUGAGACGCGGAAAGCGUGGGGAGC